CCCUUAGAUGUUCUGGGCCGCACGCGCGCUACACUGACGAAUGCAACGAGCUUAUAACCUUGGCCGAAAGGUCUGGGUAAUCUCCAAAUUUCGUCGUGAUGGGGAUAGAUUAUUGCAAUUAUUAAUCUUCAACGAGGAAUGCCUAGUAAGCGCAAGUCAUCAGCUUGCGUUGAUUACGUCCCUGCCCUUUGUACACACCGCCCGUCGCUCCUACCGAUUGAAUGGUCCGGUGAAGCGCUCGGACCGCGGCCUCUUGACGGUCCGCUGUCGAUUGGCUGUGGGAAGUUCGUUAAACCUUAUCAUUUAGAGGAAGGAGAAGUCGUAACA
rnacentral:rRNA from 1 species